rnacentral:rRNA from 1 species
AGAGUUUGAUCAUGGCUCAGAACGAACGCUGGCGGCAGGCCUAACACAUGCAAGUCGAGCGCCCAGCAAUGGGAGCGGCGGACGGGUGAGUAACGCGUGGGAAUAUGCCCUUUGGUUCGGGACAACUCAGGGAAACUUGAGCUAAUACCGGAUGAGCCGGCAACGGGAAAGAUUUAUCGCCGAAGGAUUAGCCCGCGUCCGAUUAGCUAGUUGGUGAGGUAACGGCUCACCAAGGCACCGAUCGGUAGCUGGUUUGAGAGAACGACCAGCCACACUGGGACUGAGACACGGCCCAGACUCCUACGGGAGGCAGCAGUGGGGAAUCUUGGACAAUGGGGGAAACCCUGAUCCAGCCAUGCCGCGUGAGUGAUGAAGGCCUUCGGGUUGUAAAACUCUUUCGACGGGGACGAUAAUGACGGUACCCGUAGAAGAAGCUCCGGCUAACUUCGUGCCAGCAGCCGCGGUAAUACGAAGGGGGCUAGCGUUGUUCGGAAUUACUGGGCGUAAAGCGCGCGCAGGCGGCCUUCCAAGUCAGGGGUGAAAGCCCGGAGCUCAACUCCGGAAUUGCCUUUGAAACUGUUGGGCUCGAGUUCGGGAGAGGUGAGUGGAAUUCCCAGUGUAGAGGUGAAAUUCGUAGAUAUUGGGAAGAACACCGGUGGCGAAGGCGGCUCACUGGCCCGUUUCUGACGCUCAUGCGCGACAGCGUGGGGAUCAAACAGGAUUAGAUACCCCGGUAGUCC